rnacentral:lncRNA from 1 species
CCACCCCCAAGUACUCCAAGUCUCGGUUCGAUGAAAUCGUGAAGGAAGUUUCUUCCUACCUGAAGAAGGUUGGUUACAACCCUGACAAGAUCCCAUUUGUCCCUAUAUCUGGUUUUGAGGGUGAUAACAUGAUCGAGAGGUCCACCAACCUUGACUGGUACAAGGGCCCCACCCUCCUUGAUGCUCUUGACCAGAUCAGUGAGCCCAAGAGACCCACAGACAAGCCUCUCCGUCUUCCACUUCAGGAUGUCUACAAGAUUGGUGGUAUUGGAACUGUACCUGUGGGACGUGUUGAGACUGGUGUCCUGAAGCCUGGUAUGGUCGUGACCUUCGGCCCCACUGGACUGACCACUGAAGUUAAAUCUGUUGAGAUGCACCAUGAAGCUCUUCAGGAGGCCCUUCCAGGUGACAAUGUUGGUUUCAAUGUUAAGAAUGUUGCUGUCAAGGAUCUCAAACGUGGUUUUGUUGCUUCCAACUCUAAGGAUGAUCCUGCCAAGGAGGCUGCCAACUUCACCUCUCAGGUCAUCAUCAUGAACCACCCUGGUCAAAUUGGGAAUGGAUAUGCCCCUGUCCUUGACUGUCACACCUGCCACAUUGCUGUCAAGUUUGCUGAGAUUUUGAC